GACGAACGCUGGCGGCGUGCCUAACACAUGCAAGUCGAACGGAACUGUUUUGAAAGAUUUCUUCGGAAUGAAUUUGAUUUAGUUUAGUGGCGGACGGGUGCGUAACGCGUGAGUAACCUGCCUUCAAGAGGGGAAUAACAUUCUGAAAAGAAUGCUAAUACCGCAUGACAUAUCGGAACCACAUGGUUUUGAUAUCAAAGAUUUUAUCGCUUGAAGAUGGACUCGCGUCCGAUUAGUUAGUUGGUGAGGUAACGGCUCACCAAGACCGCGAUCGGUAGCCGGACUGGGAGGUUGAACGGCCACAUUGGGACUGAGGCACGGCCCAGACUCCUACGGGAGGCAGCAGUGGGAGAUAUUGCGCAAUGGGGGCAACCCUGACGCAGCAACGCCGCGUGAAGGAUGAAGGUGUUCGGAUUGUAAACUUCUUUUAUUAAGGACGAAAAAUGACGGUACUUAAUGAAUAAGCUCCGGCUAACUACGUG
rnacentral:rRNA from 1 species